AAGUAGGACUAGAACUUAGAGUCCACUAUGGAAUCUGGGGCAUGGCAACACAGGUGAAAUAAUGUCAGGAGGGGCCCCCAGCAGGCCAGGGGGCGUGGCUCAAGGCUAGAGCCCUUGGCUGCAGGUCCAGAUGUCCCCGGUUCAAUCCCAGGUGCCCCCUGGCCGUUGUUUUGCCAUAUUGCCACGUACAGAGCACCACCGUGUGUCCUUGCUCGGCUGCACCACUGCCCCACAUGCAGCAGGAGCCAGGGGAGCAGAAGCAAAACCUGCAGCAGGAACUGGGGAGGGCAGCCCCCUGCCUCCUGCAGCGUCUCUCCCGCGCCCUCUACUGACAACUGUUAGCGCUGCGCUCACUUGAGGAGACAUGCCUAAGGAAUCCAGUCCCUUCUCCCAGAGCAGGUGGGACGCAAGCUGAGAAGAAUGCUCACCCACCUCAAGGGCCAUAUUUUCCAAGGAUCUCUUCAGCAAUUGCAAAAGAGGAUGAUGGCAGAGGAAGACUUCUCAGAGGGUGCAGCCAAGAGUCGUGUGGAACCAUGGACUGGGAGCCACUGCCAGGCAGCAGAACCAAGGCCCAGUGAAGGCACACUGCCUGCUCCUGGAGUGCUUAGUGUUGUGUGCCACUGAGUUUGGGGUGACUUGUUAUGCAACACUCUUGUGAAAAGGUGGCAGACACUGAAAUUGGCAUCCAGAACGAGGCCCUGGCUGCACCCAAAGGGAAACGGGGGCGUGGGGGGUUCCUUUUGCAUACCCAGUUUCUGUGGCCUUGUGUGCUCCCCGUUUUGUCCCAUGUCUGAAUGUAAAUGUUGCAGGAAGUCUGUCUCU
rnacentral:lncRNA from 1 species